rnacentral:rRNA from 1 species
UACGGAGGAUCCAAGCGUUAUCCGGAUUUAUUGGGUUUAAAGGGUGCGUAGGCGGAAUAUCAAGUCAGCGGUAAAAAUUCGGGGCUCAACCUCUUCGAGCCGUUGAAACUGGUUUUCUUGAGUGAGCGAGAAGUAUGCGGAAUGCGUGGUGUAGCGGUGAAAUGCAUAGAUAUCACGCAGAACUCCGAUUGCGAAGGCAGCAUACCGGCGCUCAACUGACGCUCAUGCACGAAAGUGUGGGUAUCGAACAGG